rnacentral:tRNA from 2 species
GCAGCGGUAGUUCAGUUGGUUAGAAUACCGGCCUGUCCCGCCGGGGGUCGCGGGUUCGAGCCCCGUCCGCUGCGCCA